UUUAUUAAUACGUGAACGUGAUUAAAAAAUAUACGUGUAGAGACAACAAUACCACGAAAACGCAAGGUGGCUAAUUUGAGUCGUCGCACACUCAAACCUAGAGGCAUGCAAGAUAGCAGAGCACAGAGAUCAGAUGAAGAACGGCAACAAAGCAACGCAGAUGUCCGUGUGAGCCUGGCGAAGUUACGUGCAUCAUAAUUGAAAGAGGCACGAAAUGAGCGAAACCAGGAAAACAAUAAGAGCGAAGAGAAGCACGCAGAUUCGUAGUCAACAGCCGUAGAGGAAUUGACUGACAACAUCAACAAGUACUUCGAGCAUUAACCUCACAUUCAUUUCUUCACCUAGCAUUUCAGUAUGAGCCUGAUGUGGAAUAUUACGCUCAUUCCAAAGUGGUCAUUGGUACAUUAAAUUUAAAAAUGCCCUUAAAUUUAAAAAUGAGCCGGUCGGGAUGUGUUGCUCAUCAGGAAAAGUAAAACUCAUGGAAAUUGAUACACCGCCGGAAUUGCACGGCUUUCUUAUUCAGACUCUUUACUGUUCUUGCAGUCAAUUCGAAAAUUCAAUUCAUGUUUUCAAAUGAGAUCGUUUGGAGCAACGGAAAUAAUUGAAAAUACAGCUGCAAAUAAUCAACAAUUUAAUUCCACAUUCAAAAUCAAAGGCCAAGUUUACUUAAUAAUCCAGAUGCAGAUUGUAACAUUACAAAACAAUCAUCCAUGGCCACUGUGCUGAAACAGUGUAAAAUUAUUAUCUGGGAUGAACCAUGGCACAUAAGCAUUCGCUAGAGGCAAAGCAACGCUUGCCGGGCUUUCUUAUUAUAUCUUAUUACGUACAUACAGUAGAAUCCGGUUAUAGCGACACUCAAGGGACCGUCGAUUUCACGUCGCUAUACCCGGAGGACGCUUUAACCAGAAAGAGUAAAAAAAUAUUUUAUUUUUUUUUUUCAUUUUUUUUACGGUUGCCAUGUUGCUUUUACUAUAAAACAAUUUAAAUUUUUAGUCAAAACCAUUUUUUAUAAACUUCUUUCAAUAACAUGGUUUAGAAACAUUUUUGUGACGUCGGCGUUGUACUUUGUCUCUCUCCCUCUCUCUGUCUUAGCAGCAUUUGUGGCGUUGCUACGCACACAAGUAAGGGUACUGAUCACUGAUCAAAACAUACAUGUAUACAUUUCUAACAGAGUCUUUUUAUGCUGAAAUUUGCUGUCAUUACUUCGCGAUUUUUUUUUUUAAUCACGUCGUAAUAACCGGUGAUUGACUCAAAAAUAUGAAAAAAAUCGUCGGCAUAAGCGGAUUGUCGUUAAAAGCGGAGACGUACUAAGCGGAGGCUCUUUCAUGUGAGUUUGUAUGGGGACCAACCAAGACAUCGAAUUUUCGUCAACAUAACCGGUUGGACGCUUUAAGCGGAGUCGUUAUAACCGGAUUCUACUGUAUAUCAAAUUCGUGACACAUUUUUAAGAGAUCAACAAUAAAUUAUUCGUUACCAUCAUGAA